UCUGAUAUGGCAGAAAAUAUAUGCCAUGAACUUAAGAUUCAUUUAUAAAGAUAAAAAUCUUUUAUCAGAA
rnacentral:tRNA from 1 species